GACGAACUACACAAACGUUAUUCGGAAUUACUGGGCUUAAAGGGUGCGUAGGCGGCCUGACAAGUUGGGUGUGAAAUACCUCGGCUCAACCGAGGAACAGCGCUCAAAACUGUCGGGCUAGAGGGAGAUAGAGGUGAGCGGAACUUAAGGUGGAGCGGUGAAAUGCGUUGAUAUCGUAAGGAACACCCGUGGCGAAAGCGGCUCACUGGAUCUCUUCUGACGCUCAUGCACGAAAGCUAGGGGAGCGAACGGG
rnacentral:rRNA from 1 species